CUUGAUUGCCAUGGUUUGUCCGACAGGCUCUGCAGACUCAGGACUAUACCGCGAACAGACGCGUGGUGGGUGCUAAGUGACAGCACCCCGGGGAGAGGGAGAGCCGCCCAGGAGGCUGCUCCGGCUGCCCCGCAGGUGCUAAUGAAAGAAUGCAAAUAGCAUUGGUUGAUCAGAACACUUCAUAAAGAAGGGAACAAUCACCAAGCCAAACCAGUACAGAAUCUGCCUGCCGUCAGACAGCAAAGUGCAUCUUCUGUCUUCCUCGUCUCCGAUGCUUUGCAACAUCCACUGGGAUCAAAGAACAAGAAAAGGACUCUAACUUGGACACUGACAGUCUCUAGCCAGCUGCAACUUCCCAGUUGCCAUUAUACUCCAUCCUGCAGCCACUGGGAACUGCAUGGCACAUGGCAGCAUCUGGAAUAAAACUCUGAUUCUCUUGCUCCCAAAGCAGGUGCCUUCACCACCUAAGGAACAGAGGAGGAUCUUUGUUAGCUGAUAUGACUCUCAGGACACACAGCUGAGCAGUUCUGAUUCUAGCCUGUGGAGGGAGGUGGUGUGUAACAUACACAGAGAGAGAAAUAGACAUUUUCACAAAUGCAUAAGCAAAAAACAAAACAUGUGACUUCCCCUUUAAGAGGAAUAAUAAAUAAAGUGUGUAUCCAUUAUA